rnacentral:rRNA from 1 species
CGCAUCUGUGCAUGCAGCAUAUCAAUAAGCGGAGGAAAAGAAACUAACAAGGAUUCCCCUAGUAACGGCGAGUGAAGCGGGAAGAGCUCAAAUUUGAAAUCUUAAAGGGUUUCCCUUUACGAAUUGUAGUUUAAAGAAGUGUUUUCUGUUGAGGUCUUGGUAAAAGUUCUUUGGAAUAGGACAUCAUAGAGGGUGAGAAUCCCGUAUUUGACCUUUACUUUCAACUUUGUGAUACACUUUCAAAGAGUCGGAUUGUUUGGGAAUGCAGUCCAAAAUGGGUGGUAAAUUUCAUCUAAAGCUGAAUAUUGGCGAGAGACCGAUAGCGAACAAGUACCGUGAGGGAAAGAUGAAAAGAACUUUGAAAAGAGAGUUAAACAGUACGUGAAAUUGUCAAAAGGGAAGCGUUUGACACCAGUGUUGUUUUUCUGAAAAUCAAUUAAAGAACUGUUUAUGCUAAGUUGUUUAGACUUUAUCAGCUAACUGUUUAGUUUUGAGCUUUUCUUUAAUGCACUUUUCAGUUAACAAGUCAACAUCAAUUUCUUUUGCUGUAAAAAAGCUUGAGGAAGGUGGCUUGAGAUUCGUCUUAAGUGUUUAUAGCCUCUUGCCUAUGCAGUCGGAGAGAUUGAGGUCUGCAGCGUAGAUCCUUCGGGGCUAAAUGCAUUUGUGCUAAGUUAUAACAUUUUAUAGACAACUUGUUGACUAUGAUUUGUCUUGUAGCUUACUCGCUUAUGUUAUUUUACCUACGCUUAGGAUGUUGACAGCAGUAUAGACUGU